ensembl:misc_RNA Metazoa_SRP Metazoan signal recognition particle RNA
GCUGGGCGUGGUGGUGUGCGCCUGUAGUCCCAGCUACUCAGGAAGCCAAGAUGGGAGAAUGGCUUGAGCCCGGGAGGUCAAGGCUGCAGUGAGCUGUGAUUGCACCACUGCACUGCAGCUUGGGCAACAGAGCCAGACCCCAUCUCAA